rnacentral:rRNA from 1 species
UGAGGAAUAUUGGUCAAUGGACGAAAGUCUGAACCAGCCAUGCCGCGUGAAGGAAUAAGGCCCUAUGGGUCGUAAACUUCUUUUGUAUGUGAGCAAUAAGGUCCACGUGUGGUCCGAUGAGAGUAGCAUACGAAUAAGCACCGGCUAACUACGUGCCAGCAGCCGCGGUAAAACGUAGGGUGCAAGCGUUGUCCGGAAUUACUGGGUGUAAAGGGAGCGCAGGCGGACCGGCAAGUUGGAAGUGAAAACCAUGGGCUCAACCCAUGAAUUGCUUUCAAAACUGCUGGCCUUGAGUAGUGCAGAGGUAGGCGGAAUUCCCGGUGUAGCGGUGGAAUGCGUAGAUAUCGGGAGGAACACCAGUGGCGAAGGCGGCCUACUGGGCACCAACUGACGC